AUAGGUUUUGGGAUUUGAGAAUAGGUUUAGGUUAUAAAUAUAGGUUUAGGUUGGGUUAUAGGUUAAGGUUUCGGGAUUUGAGUUUAGGUUAAGGUUUAGGUUUAGGUUAAGGUUGUAAGUUUAGGUUUAGGUUAUAAGUAUAGGUUUAGGUUGGGUUAUAGGUUAAGGUUUAGGGAUUUGAGUUUAGGUUAAGGUUUAGGUUUGGGUUAUAAGUAUAGGUUUAGGGAUUUGAGAAUAAGUUUAGGUUAAGGUUGUAAGUUUAGGUAUAGGUUAUAAGUAUAGGUU